rnacentral:rRNA from 1 species
GAUGAACGCUGGCGGCGUGCCUAAUACAUGCAAGUCGAGCGAACAGACGAGGAGCUUGCUCCUUCGACGUUAGCGGCGGACGGGUGAGUAACACGUAGGUAACCUACCUAUAAGACUGGGAUAACUUCGGGAAACCGGAGCUAAUACCGGAUAAUAUUUCGAACCGCAUGGUUCGAUAGUGAAAGAUGGCUUUGCUAUCACUUAUAGAUGGACCUGCGCCGUAUUAGCUAGUUGGUAAGGUAACGGCUUACCAAGGCAACGAUACGUAGCCGACCUGAGAGGGGGAUAGGCCACACUGGAACUGAGACACGGUCCAGACUCCUAAGGGAGGCAGCAGUAGGGAAUCGUCCGCAAUGGGCGAAAGCCUGACGGAGCAACGCCGCGUGAGUGAUGAAGGUCUUCGGAUCGUAAAACUCUGUUAUUAGGGAAGAACAAACGUGUAAGUAACUGUGCACGUCUUGACGGUACCUAAUCAGAAAGCCACGGCUAACUACGUG